AUUGCCUCAGUAACGGCGAGUGAAGCGGCAACAGCUCAAAUUUGAAAUCUGGCCCCAGGCCCGAGUUGUAAUUUGCAGAGGAUGCUUUUGGCGCGGUGCCUUCCGAGUUCCCUGGAACGGGACGCCAUAGAGGGUGAGAGCCCCGUCUGGUUGGACACCAAGCCUUUGUAAAGCUCCUUCGACGAGUCGAGUAGUUUGGGAAUGCUGCUCUAAAUGGGAGGUACAUGUCUUCUAAAGCUAAAUACCGGCCAGAGACCGAUAGCGCACAAGUAGAGUGAUCGAAAGAUGAAAAGCACUUUGGAAAGAGAGUUAAACAGCACGUGAAAUUGUUAAAAGGGAAGCGUUUAUGACCAGACGUGGGCCGGUUAAUCAUCCAGCGUUCUCGCUGGUGCACUUUGCCGGUCCAGGCCAGCAUCAGUUCGUUGCGGGGGAUAAAGGCUUUGGGAAUGUAGCUCCUCGGAGUGUUAUAGCCCUUUGCGUAAUACCCUGCGUCGGACUGAGGUUCGCGCUCUGCAAGGAUGCUGGCGUAAUGGUCAUCAACGACCCGUCUUGAAACACGGACCAAGGAGUCGUCUUCGUAUGCGAGUGUUCGGGUGUAAAACCCCUACGCGAAAUGAAAGUGAACGCAGGUGAGAGCUUCGGCGCAUCAUCGACCGAUCCUGAUGUUCUCGGAUGGAUUUGAGUAAGAGCAUACGGGGCCGGACCCGAAAGAAGGUGAACUAUGCCUGUAUAGGGUGAAGCCAGAGGAAACUCUGGUGGAGGCUCGCAGCGGUUCUGACGUGCAAAUCGAUCGUCAAAUAUGGGCAUGGGGGCGAAAGACUAAU
rnacentral:rRNA from 1 species